CCUACGGGAGGCAGCAGUGAGGAAUAUUGGUCAAUGGGCUUACGCCUGAACCAGCCAAGUCGCGUGAGGGAAGACUGCCCUAUGGGUUGUAAACCUCUUUUGUCAGGGAGCAACGCCGGCUACGUGUAGCCGGACUGAGAGUACCUGAAGAAAAAGCAUCGGCUAACUCCGUGCCAGCAGCCGCGGUAAUACGGAGGAUGCGAACGUUAUCCGGAUUUAUGGGGUUUAAAGGGUGCGUAGGCGGAAUGCCAAGUCAGCGGUAAAAUCGCGGGGCUCAACCUCGCUCCGCCGUUGAUACUGGCGUUCUUGAGUGGGCGAGAAGUAGGCGGAAUGCGUGGUGUAGCGGUGAAAUGCAUAGAUAUCACGCAGAACUCCGAUUGCGAAGGCAGCAUACCGGCGCCCAACUGACGCUGAAGCACGAAAGCGUGGGUAUCGAACAGGAUUAGAUACCCGUGUAGUC
rnacentral:rRNA from 1 species